rnacentral:misc_RNA from 1 species
UCUCCGUUGGUGAACCAGCGGAGGGAUCAUUACAGAGUUGCAAAACUCCCACAACCCUUUGUUAAUUCUACCUGAUCGUUGCUUAGGCAGGCGGCCCCAGGGCGGGGCCUGUAGCCUUCUUUUAGGCGCCUGCCGACGGCAUCACAAAAUUCGUUUUUUUCCAGUUAUCUGAGUAUAAAUACACAAUGAGUCAAAACUUUCAACAACGGAUCUCUUGGUUCUG